rnacentral:rRNA from 1 species
UACGUAGGGUGCAAGCGUUAAUCGGAAUUACUGGGCGUAAAGCGUGCGCAGGCGGUGAUGUAAGACAGAUGUGAAAGCCCCGGGCUUAACCUGGGAAUUGCGUUGGAGACUGCAAGGCUUGAAUCUGGCAGAGGGGGGUAGAAUUCCACGUGUAGCAGUGAAAUGCGUAGAGAUGUGGAGGAACACCGAUGGCGAAGGCAGCCCCCCUGGGUCAAGAUUGACGCUCAUGCACGAAAGCGUGGGGAGCAAACAGG